rnacentral:lncRNA from 1 species
GCAAAUCGGAUAGGUGUGUUUGACACAACAUCACAAAUUCGCAGAACAGAAAACUAAGGUUAACCCAUACGCCUCCCACAACAAAACACCAAAUGGCCCACUUCCUCCGGAAUCCAACAUGGAGACGCCGUGGACUAAACACACCGCCACGGAAAGUGUCACGUCUCUCGUGCCAAGACGACGUGCCUGUGGUACCCCCACAAGUGGUUAUAACUCAGGUAUACUCUACGGUAUAUUCUAACAAAAAUAUCAUGUCACAACACAUGCGACAUAAUACCAACAAAAGGGUUCUAUAUGUACAUGUUGAACCGAAUCAAAUUAUAGUCACAAGGUUUCAAAAGGAAGGUAGCAACAUGUACCGCUCUACAAUUAUCAAAAUAAAUAAUACUAAACAUGAUAACCUAAUUCAAAGAGUACAAAUACGAGUCAUACGUAUCAACUCUAAAAUGAAACUAAUAUAUUUAUUUCACAAGAAACAAUUAUGUGAAAUCAUAAUAGAAUUCGAAAUAAGGAAACAAACGAACAAAUCAAAUUUAACAAAGGUAUCGCUGAAAGAGUACGGAAUCCGUACCUGAUACUUCCAAACCAUUUAUAGCACACUCCACAAAAUCUUACCCUCAAAUGCCAACGAUAUCAAAUACGAAACGUUAUUCAUCACCUAAACAUAUUCACCUCAAAUUAAAUAUAAUCCAAUUCAAUAAUUCCAAAAUAAUUCAUAAUCUAUUUAAUAUGCCUUUAAUCAUCGUCUUAUAUCAAUUAUUAAUACUCCAAAAUUUAUAUUCCAAAUAUAACUCUUUAAGUUCCUUCCGUCCGAACUAAUUACACAAAUUAAUAAUACUAAAUGUAAGUACAUUUAUAAAAAUAUGAACACUUCUAUUUGGUACGACUAUAAAAUAUAAUUACUUAUAAUAUUAAGAUUUAAUUCAUUCCAUAUAAUCUUACAUAUUUAUUUGUAUAACAUCUCUUGCAAAUUAUGCAAGUUUUCGUAAACUUUAAUUACUACUGCUAUAUAUAUAUUUUUAUUUAAAAAAAUCAUCAAUUUAUUAUUUUAGGAUCUCCAAAAUCAAUCACAGACUACUCCCUCCGUUCAAUCUGAUUGGAAUAAAGUGAUAAUAAUAAUAAGUACAUCCGUAUAAGUAUUACAUUAAUAAAUAAACUCUCCCAUCUUUAAAGAUCGCUCUUAGUUCUUGAAUUACAAAAGUACUUGCUCAUGAUGAAAAAAACAACAUACUAAAUUUAAUAAUUUAAUAUGGAACCACGUGAUUUAUCCCCACUUUAUAUAAUGUAUAAUAUACUUACUUAUUACUGAUGAAAUUUCCCCACUAGUGAUCAAAAUCUCUAGUCUUUCUUCACCUGAGCCCCCUUUGUAGCUGUUCCCUUUAUCUCCAAAGUAGCCACCUCUUCUUAUUCAGUUUGUAUAAUGAAGUAAUAUUAGGUUUAGCUAUUUAUUAAUUAGGUUUGCCCUAAUAAACUUCUAUUUGGGUUAAAUUAAUAUUAAGGCCCAAAUUUUAACCACAUAAUAUUAUCUAUCACUUAUUAAUAUUUAUUAGCCCACAUAAUUUAAAUAACUAGUUUGACCCAAAUAAAUGACAAGUUCCAAACAAUAUGUUUUAAGAAUAUAAAUUUAAUAUUAUUUUAUUAUUUUUUUCGGGAUAUUACAUUACCUCCCCCUUAAAAAGGAUUCCGUCCCCGGAAUCAAAAGAAUGAAAAAUACCUAAUUAUCAAAAAGAUGCAGAUACUCCGCUCGAAUAGACUCUUCUAUCUCCCAAGUAGUUUCCCGCUCCGAAUAAUUUUACCACAAGACUUUAACAAAAGGAAUUAUCUUCCUCAAAUUUUAAUUUAAUCAGUUAUUUAAUUAUCUACUAAAAGAAUUUAAUUUUCCAAACAAAACAAGGAAGAAAAGAAGGAAACAAAAUCAUUUACCUUUUCCCAUUUAAACACAAUUGUAUAAGAUAAAAUCAAUUAAUAUUUAAUUAUAUAAAAAAAAUAGGUUAUUACAUUUUUCACCCCUUAAAAAUAAUUCCGUCCUCGGAAUUCAAAUAAGCUACAGAAAAAAUAAAUAAAUUUAGUUACGAUGUAGCGUCGCCAUUUGUAACGUUCAACGUGGAUAAGUCAUCGGUCCACGUAAUUAUCAAUGUACUUGUAAAAGAUUCAUCAGCUACCGUGUCAAGUCUUGGUAAGGUUCUUCUCGUUAAAUCACAUGAUCCACUGUUGGUGCAGGCCCCCCGUUAAUAUCUUUGAGUUUCAUUCUUGCAAGCGUACGUACUCUUCUGAACAUAAUUCGAAAUCACAAACAUUUUUCUUCAUCUAAAUACGAUUCAAAUAACCAAAAUAUUUAAAAUUAUUUUUAACUCGUUAAAAUGUUUAUAUUCCACACAUGACAAAGAUCUAACAAAUUAUUUUUAUUUAAUUUUACAUAAAUUCACGCAAAACUCUAAAGACAUCAGAUAACCAAAACAACUAUGCAAACCAUAUUACCAACUCUCCCCAAGUCCUCAAGAGCUUCAAAAUAUCUCAUCCUUAAUUUGAACUAUUCACCAAAUAAUAUUACACCAAAGAAUAUACUACUAAUAUCUCUUUAUCACCAACUUUCCUAAGUCCUUAAGAGUUUCAAAAUAUCAUAACCUCCAAUCAAAUUAGUUCUCAAAUAUUAUUACACCAAAAAUAUACUACUACUAAGAUCUCUCCAUCACCAUACCAAACUCCAAAUCAUAUAUCCUACUAUCUGAAUAAACAAACGAUAGCUUUCAAAAUCUCUUAAAGAUUCAUCACUUAAUAUCUAAUCAUUUAAUAAAUCAAUCAUUCUCUUAGUGCAAACCUUAACCCAACAAAUUCCAAAAUCUCCUCAUACUAUCACUCAAAAUUUCAUAUAAGAUAACUCCAAUAUUCUACUAGGAAAUAAUCGCAAAAUUCAUUUACUCCAAAAAAUUAAUCUAAUUACCUCGAAUCUUUACAACAACUCAAAAUUACAAGAGAUCCUUUGUACUUAAUAGUUUUCACUUUAUCAUAUUAUCCCACCGAUUCACAUACCUCAAAUUAUUCACAACUUAACAAAAAUCAGAAUCUAACCCAAAUAAAAUCCUCAAUUCCAAAAUCAUAAUAAUUUGUAAUUACCUGAAAUAACUCUUAACAAAUAAUUCUCCCAUAUCAAAACUUGCUGAUACAAAUGCUCAUAUCAUAAUCGUAUAAUCAUUUCUUAACUGAACAAAAUAUGAUAUUAUUCUCCUUAAUAAUCCAAUCACAAUCCUUAACUAAUAUUAUUGUUCCAACGCAUAACAAUAAUAAUCUUAACAAAUUAUCUCGCCUUUCUCAAAUCAACUAUAACUCAAAGAACUAAAAAAACACUUGGUCAGAAUAAGACCAACCAAACAGAGAACAAAAUCAAUUCAAACUCCUAUGUCUACCCAGUGAUUUACCCACAACUCACAGGUCAAACCUAAAUAGGUUUUCUACAAGAAAGAACCUAAGCUCUGAUACCAUCUCUGUAACACCCCCUUCCCGAAAAGGAAAGGGAGGUCACGUGCAAAGCACAACAAACCUCAAAAUAAAUAAACAGAGCACUAACAACCUCAAAAUAUUAAUAGUGGUGAUUCAUUAAUAAAGUAAUAAGUACAAUUCUCCAAACUGAGUCAAAAUAAUCAAAACUUAAAAUUCGAAUCAACCUAAAUGGUCAAAGGCAAAAAUCUCAUCACACUAGCCCUGAAUCACCCCUGCAAACCUGCCGGAAGAAAAACACAGCAUGAGCCAAUUGCCCAGUACGGAUACAGAUAUACAAAAGAUAUACAACUGAUAUACGAAAAUAACUGAGACAAAAUACUGAACAAAGCCUCAAGUGCAAAUACGAACGAAAAUAUAAUAUCCAAAGAUUUGAAUGGAAUAUAUCUGAAUCAACGUAAUGAAUAUAUCUGAAUCAACGUAAUUGACGAAACCAAUAAAAGAAUAAAGAAAUAACGAACUGAAGUAACUAACUCAAUGACUUGAACUGAACAGAAACCAACAAAACUAAUCCAAUAAAAUAAUAGGCUGAAACAAAUGGCUGGAGUUAUUUUAUACCGAAUGAGCUCAGAAAUACACAUUGCCACACAGGCAAGUCAAAAUAAUGCCACACAGGCAACCAAAAUAAUGCCACACAGGCAAAUCACACAUUGGACCGCGAAUCCAAAUGUAUGCAAAUCGGAUAGGUGUGUUUGGCACAACAUCACAAAUCCGCAGAACAGAAAACUAGGGUUAACCCAUACGCCUCCCACAACAAAACACCAAAUGGCCCACUUCCUCCGGAGCCCAAAAUGGAGACGCCGUGGACUAAUCACACCGCCACGGAAAGUGUCACGUCUCUCGUGCCAAGACGACGUGCCUGUGGUACCCCCACAGGUGGUUAUAACUCAGGUAUACUCUACGGUAUAUUCUAACAAAAAUAUCAUGUCACAACACAUGCGACAUAAUACCAACAAAAGGGUUCUAUAUGUACAUGUUGAACCGAAUCAAAUUAUAGUCACAAGGUUUCAAAAGGAAGGUAGCAACAUGUACCGCUCUACAAUUAUCAAAAUAAAUAAUACUAAACAUGAUAACCUAAUUCAAAGAGUACAAAUACGAGUCAUACGUAUCAACUCUAAAAUGAAACUAAUAUAUUUAUUUCACAAGAAACAAUUAUGUGAAAUCAUAAUAGAAUUCGAAAUAAAGAAGCAAACGAACAAAUCAAAUUUAACAAAGGUAUCGCUGAAAGAGUACGAAAUCCAUACCUGAUACUUCCAAACCAUUUAUAGCACACUCCACAAAAUUUUACCCUCAAAUGCCAACGAUAUCAAAUACGAAACAUUAUUCAUCACCUAAACAUAUUCACCUCAAAUUAAAUAUAAU